CGCCGACUGGCGCGGGCGCCGGCCCUGGAGCGGGCGUGGGAGCGACGGGACCUGGGAUCACGCCCGGGGCCGGCGGC
rnacentral:tRNA from 1 species